rnacentral:tRNA from 1 species
ACUUGGGUGGCUCAGUGGUUGAGCGUCUGCCUUUGGCUCAGGCAUGAUCCCGGGGUUCUGGGAUCAAGUCCCACCUCAGGCU